CCCUGGGCAAGUCACCCAUUGCCUAACCAAAAAAAAAAAAUCUAUAACCCUAAAUUCAUGUCUCCAACUCUGACUCUAACCCUAAAUGCCUGACUCUAAGCCUAACCUUGAGUGCUUCUGGCUCUAAAACCCUAAAUGUGCAACUCUGACUCUCUUCAACUCCCAAUCUAUCCCUGACCGUACCCCUAACUCUGCCUUUAACUCUGACCCUAACCCUAACCCUUGAACUGUCACCCUAAUUUUGUGACUCAGACUCUUAACCCUAAUUUCAUACCCCCAACUCCAAUCCAAACACCAAAUUCACAUUACAUAAAAAUUGCUUUAUCUAGACUCUGCAGAAUGGUCCACUUAGUAAAGUUAAAUCUGUGUAUGUAGACCACUAUUAUAUAUAGAAUAUACAUAAAUAGAAUAAGUACAAAUAAAUGGGGAAAUAAAUUCAAAGGAAUGGCAGUGGGGAGACAAAUGGAGGAAAAACUUUGGGCAUUUACACUUUCUUCCCGUUCCCAUGAUCAGGGGCUGAGAAGACCACGUGAGGUAAGGGAAGAGCGGAGGGGGCGGGGCUCCAAGUCAGGAAGGGCAGGGAGGGCGGGGCAGGCAGGGAGGCCGGACCGCAUUCCAGGCCCAGAAGACACGGAAGACACCGAAGCCUCCAGACUACGAUUCCCAGAAGGCCUUGCUCUUCCCCCCCGGAAGCAUUUUCCAAAGCGAGGACGAAACUCCCCUCGGAUGUCAUUUUCACCCCGCCCUGUCUUCGCCUUUUCCUUACUUUGUGGUGGUAAUUUUCUUCCAUUCUGUCCUGAGCCGACCUGCGGCCGGCUCUCCCUUCUGUGGCCUCUGCUCUGCCCCAGGAGGACAGCCUGGAGGAAGAGGGAAUGGCUUCUGCCCUGACAGCCAGGCCCGGGAAGGAAACAGUAACAUUCAAGGAUGUGGCUGUGGAAUUCACCUGGGAGGAGUGGGUACAUUUGAACCCAUCUCAGAAAACACUGUACAAGGAUGUGAUGCUGGAGAACUAUAGGAACUUGGUCUCCUUGGGAUUUGGCAUUUCCAAACCAGAUGUAAUCUACCAGUUGGAAAGAAAGGAAGCAACUUGGAUGCAAGAGCCAGAUAUUCUAAGAAGCAGCUGGCCAGGGAGGGAAGAAUUUCCUGGAGAGAAACCUUAUAAAUGUAGUGUGUGUGGGAAGGCCUUCAGGAAUAAGACGCAACAUACUGUACAUCAGAGAAUUCAUACUGGAAAGAUUCUUUAUGAAUGUAAAGAGUGUGGGAAGGCCUUCCAUUGGAACUCAGAUUGUAUUAAACACCAAAGAAUUCAUAAUGGAGAGAAACCUUAUGAAUGUAGUGAAUGUGGAAAGGCCUUCAGGAGGAAGCCACAACUUACUGUACAUCAGAGAAUUCAUACUGGAGAAAAACCUUAUGAAUGUAGUGAAUGUGGGAAGGCAUUUAGGAUGAAGGAAUAUCUUACUGUGCAUCAGAGAAUUCAUACCGGAGAAAUUCUUUAUAAAUGUAAGGAGUGUGGGAAGGCUUUCCACUACAACUCAGGACUUAUUCGACAUCAAAGAAUUCACACUGAAGAGAAGCCUUAUGAAUGCAGUGAAUGUGGGAAGGCCUUCAGGAGGAAGCCCCAGCUUAUUGUACAUCAGAGCAUUCAUACUGGAGUGAGACCUUAUGAAUGUAAUGAAUGUGGGAAGGCCUUCAGGAGGAAGGCAUAUUUUACUGAGCAUCAGAGAAUUCACACUGGAGAGAAACCUUAUGAAUGUAAUGAAUGUAGGAAGACCUUCAGGAGUAAGACACAACUUACUGUGCAUCAGAGGAUUCACACAGGAGAGAAACCUUAUGAAUGUAAGGAUUGUGGGAAGGCCUUCCAUCGCAACUCAGAUCUUAUUAAACAUCAAAGAAUCCAUACUGGAGAGAAACCUUAUGAAUGUAGUGAAUGUGCAAAGGCCUUCAGGAGGAAGGCAAAACUUACUGAGCAUCAAAGAAUUCAUACUGGAGAGAAACCUUAUGAGUGUAAUGCAUGUGGAAAGUCCUUUAGACAGAGGACACAACUUUAUGUCCAUCAGAGAAUUCAUACUGGAGAGAUUCCUCAUGAAUGUAAGGAGUGUGGGAAGGCUUUCCUCUACAACUCAGAACUUAUUAAACAUCAAAGAAUUCAUACUGGAGAGAAACCUUAUAAAUGUUGUGAAUGUGGGAAGGCCUUCAGGAAGAAGUCACAUCUUACUGUACAUCAGAGGAUUCAUACUGGAGAGAUUCUUUAUGAAUGUAAGGAGUGUGGGAAGGCUUGCCACUACAAUUCAGAUCUUAUUGUACAUCAAAGAGUUCAUACUGGAGAGAGACCUUAUGAAUGUAAUGAAUGUGGGAAGACCUUCAAACAGAGGACACAACUUACUCAACAUCAGAGCAUUCAUACUAGAGAGAGACCUUAUGAGUGCAAUAAAUGUGGGAAGACCUUCAAACUGAGGACCCAUCUUGCUCAACAUCAAAGAAUUCAUGCUGGAGAGUACCCUUAAGAGUGUAAUGCAUGUGGGAAAGCCUUUAGACUGAGGACACUACCUUAUGUCCAUCACAGAAUUCAUACUGGAGAGAUUCCUCAUGAAUGUAAAGAGUGUGGGAAGGCCUUACAUCUGUCGAGAGAAGAAAUUUAACAAGAAGUACUGUCCACGAGGUUUUCUUGGCGAAAAUCCUGGAGUAGUCUGACAUUUCGUUCUCCAACGGAUCAUCUUUUGUCAGAAUUCUCCACUGCAACCUGCCCAUCUUGGAUAACUCUGCAUUACAUACCUUACAGUUUCAUCAAGCUAUGCAAAACCCUCCUCCACAACAAGGCAGUGAUAGGGAUUUUUUUUUAAAUUUUUCAAUGCAAUUUUAUUUUCAUAAUCCAAAAAGUAACUAUAAACUAGCACCAGACUGCCCGGAAUUUAGAAGUAUCAUUCCAUAUCACAAUGCAAGAUUUUUUUUUCUUUAGGGAGUUCUAUUACCUCUGGAAGGGAUAUUGAGAGGGGAAAAGUGGUCCUACAAUCCAACUAGAAAGAAUACUACCUUCUAAGAAACAAAACAAUUUUUCUGUACUUCCCUGGGCUUGGGUCAGCCUAAAUUGGCUCUGGGUCAGAUGAUGCUUGUCUAGCUCUUCAAACCCAUUAGUUAGGAAAAAGGUUGUAUGAAGCUCUUGUAUGUCAUAACGGGCCUGUUGGAGCUUGUCUUGUAUGACACUUGGGAGACCUUGGACUUUAGGCGUGAUGUCCAUGAAGGCCAACUGUAAUUUCAGGGCAAUGCUCUGAGACAUAGGGCUGCCUGGAGCUGUGUAUCACUAUCCACAUUUUCUGACUGGAUCCUACUCCACCUGAUGCAUUGCUCAAAUAGAGUCUAAGGAGUAUAGGAAGACUUUUCACUAUAGUUGAGAUCUUAUUCAACAUCGAAACAUUCAUGAAUGUGGGAAGACCUUCAAGCUGAUGAUACAAUUUACCAUGAGAGAAUUCAUACUGGAAGGAUUCCUCAUGAAAGAAUAGUGUGGGUAGGCCUUCCAUUGUUGAGAUAAAAAUCUUUGAUAAAGAGAAAUUGGGGCACAAAGUUCUGGGCUAAUAAAUACCAAUAAAUUGGAUCCAAGACCCCUCAGUAGUCAAGGAUCCAUCUGACAGAGCAGUUCUUGUACAGUUGAAAAGGUACAGGUUAUCUAGGUUACAAAAAUUGUCCAGUGAUACAAAUGACAUCUGAGACUGUGAUUGGCUUAACCCAGAGACGCAGGGAGGGUUUACAUAACCCUUCCAUAACCCAGGGCAACAGGGGAAAAAACCCAAACAGAAUUGACUAACACUCUCUUGAGAAUCCUGUGAUAGGUAUAGCUUAUCACCAGAUUGACUCACAUCCCCUAGAAAAGCCCCUAGUGGGCAAACAUCCUGUGAUCAGAUUAAUUUAUCUCUCCUCACAGUUAGGCAAAGUAACUGACUGGGAUUUUGUGGUUGGAUUAUAGCUCAUAGGUAUAGGGAAGUAACAGUCUCACCAAUUUUCCUGAUAGGAUCUGCACAAUCAAGUCUGAAUUUGAUUUGCAAAUAUUGAUUAGACACACUGAUUACAUACAAUUCUCAAUCAAUCAUGGAAUAUCAGUUUUCAAAUUUUAUAAUAGGCAACUGAAGUUACAGGCUUAAGGGAGCUCAAACUCGCACAAUGAGGGGGCUAACCAAUAUAUAGUGGGUUCAUCAUGAACACAACAAAUCGACUAAGGCUUAUUAAAAUAAUACAAAAUAAAGUGGGGUGUCAGUUUUCAAUUUCUCAUUCUUUCCUUUGAUCCUUUGGAGACGUGUCUCCAAUGAAUCACUGUGUAUAAGCCAAAUUGAUGUAAUUAGGAUUGCUCAUCAUCCAUUGGGAUUAAAUCAGCAGUGGGACGAUAGCAAUAAUCACAGAGUUUGACAAUUUAUACAAGGCCAGCCACGAGAUGUUUGACUAUUACUGGUUCUGGUUGACUUACAAAUGAUCCAGCAAAAGGCAAUAAGUCUGCCCUGCUUUCUCCGUCUUCAUUUUGUGAUAGCCAAACAGAAGUAAGUUCCCAUGACUUGGGAGUGCUUUGGUGACUAAAGUCUCACUAUCUAUGGCUGGCAUGUUGACAGAAUCUGUCUGGAGCAGUUCCCUUCCUUAAGCUAGACUUACAGAGACAAUGGCACAUGCAAAAGGAAGAAAUUACUUGUAUUCGAGGAGAUACAAUAUUCAAGUGCCUGUAUACCCUAGUAACCUAGAGUAUAGGGCGUGUUCAGGGAAAACUAAUACCUCCGGUGUGAGGGCUGCCAAGCUCUUUUCAGGGCCGCUUUCUACCUUUGGCAUCCACCUGAUUCACCCAACUCCACCUGUGGCUCCAAGAAGCCGUAGCAUGAACAGUGGCCACACUCCAGUAAACCAUUUUGGCAGAUGGGUUAAACCAGAUUGAGGGCAACCAAGCGGUUUCAAACCCUUAAGUGAGUUAGGGAGGUGUUUACCCCAAGCAUAUGAAGACUUCCCCCAGAGGAAUGGGUGGAUGAGAACGAUUUGU